UACGUAGGGGGCAAGCGUUAUCCGGAAUUACUGGGUGUAAAGGGAGCGUAGACGGUGAUGUAAGUCUGGAGUGAAAGGCGGGGGCCCAACCCCCGGACUGCUCUGGAAACUAUGUGACUGGGAGUGCAGGAGAGGUGAGCGGAAUUCCUAGUGUAGCGGUGAAAUGCGUAGAUAUUAGGAGGAACACCAGUGGCGAAGGCAGCAUACCGGCGCCCGACUGACGCUGAAGCAACGAAAGCGUGGGUAGUCGAACAGGA
rnacentral:rRNA from 1 species